AGUCAAUAGAUACCCGGGUAGUCCUAGCUGUAAACGGUGCACGUUUGGUGUGGGAGGCAACCCCUUCCGUGCCGAAAGCUAAACGCGAUAAAAACGUGCCGCCUGGGUAGUACGGUCGCAAGACUAAAACUCAAAGAAAUUGACGGGGACCCGCACAAGCGGUGGAGUAUGUGGCUUAAUUCGAUGCAACGCGAAGAACCUUACCAGGGCUUGACAUGUAUUGUAACCCCGGUGAAAGCCGGGCAGCAUGGAAACAUGCGCUUUACACAGGUGCUGCAUGGCUGUCGUCAGCUCGUGUCGUGAGAUGUUGGGUUAAGUCCCGCAACGAGCGCAACCCUUAUGAUUUGUUGCCACCGGUUCAUUCCGAGCACUCAAAUCAGACUGCCCAGAUUAACUGGGAGGAAGGUGGGGAUGACGUCAAGUCCGUAUGGCCCUUACGUCCUGGGCUGCACACGUACUACAAUGUCCAGUACAAAUUGAACCGAUACCGCAAGGUGAGGAAAUCAACAAACUGGGCUCAGUUCAGAUUGCAGGCUGC
rnacentral:rRNA from 1 species